AACGCGAAGAACCUUACCUGGACUUGACAUCUUCUGACAACCGUAGAGAUACGGCUUUCGUAGCAAUACGACAGAAAGACAGGUGCUGCAUGGCUGUCGUCAGCUCGUGUGGUGACAUGUUGGGUUAAGUCCCGCAACGAGCGCAACCCCUGUCCUUAGUUGCCAGCAUUCAGUUGGGCUCUCUAGGGAGACUGCCGUGGUCAACACGGAGGAAGGUGGGGAUGACGUCAAGUCCUCAUGGCCUUUAUGUCCAGGGCGACACACGUGAUACAAUGGUUGGUACAGAGGGACGCCAAAGCGCAAGCUGGAGCCAAUCCCAAAAAGCCAAUCUCAGUUCGGAUUGGAGUCUGCAACUCGACUCCAUGAAGUUGGAAUCGCUAGUAAUCGCGGAUCAGCACGCCGCGGUGAAUACGUUCCCGGGCCUUGUACACACCGAGACGUA
rnacentral:rRNA from 1 species